UACGAAGGGUGCAAGCGUUAAUCGGAAUUACUGGGCGUAAAGCGCGCGUAGGUGGUUCAGUAAGUUGGAAGUGAAAUCCCCGGGCUCAACCUGGGAACUGCUUUCAAAACUGCUGAGCUAGGGUACGGUAGAGGGUGGUGGAAUUUCCUGUGUAGCGGUGAAAUGCGUAGAUAUAGGAAGGAACACCAGUGGCGAAGGCGACCACCUGGACUGAUACUGACACUGAGGUGCGAAAGCGUGGGGAGCAAACAGG
rnacentral:rRNA from 1 species